GACCGUGGCGGUCGCCGGGCAGCAGAGCCCGGGCGCAGCGAGCGCAGCGCAGCGCAGGGAGCGCAGGCGGCGGCGGCUCCAGGUCCCCGGGGCUCCACCGCUCGGCGCAGCGAAGUAGCCUCCGGCGGUGGCAACUACGGCGGCGGCGCCGGGGCGAUGCUGUGGGUCUCGUUGGGCGCCGGUGUCCUGGCCUCUUCUUCAGACCGAAGAACAAACUAAAUUCAUCUCAAAAUGCUUAUAAAUCAUCAAGACGGAGUAGCCUGCCACCUGAACUACUCAUAGGAAAUGACAUUAGAGGAAGACUUCAAAGAAACAUUAAGAACUUGGAUCCCAUUCACCUGAGGCACCCGAAGAAGAGACCAUCCAUAUUUCCAGGACGAAAACACCCCCGUUCCUUAGGCGUCCCGUGUCCCCCGAUUCCUCCUCCCUGGUUGCUGCGUCCUUGGCUGGCAUCAGAAAAAUGGCUAUAAACUUCCUAGUACGUGAGAAGAUCUGGUUCGAUAAGUUCAAACAUGACGUUGCAGAAAGGAGAUUCUACGAACAGAUGAACGGGCCUGUGGCCGGUGCUUCCCGCCAGGAGAACGGUGCCAGCGUGAUCCUCCUGAUACUGCCAGAGCCAGAGAGAACAUCCCGAAAUCCCUGGCCAGAAGCUCAGGCCCUGGGGCGUCUAGCAGCCCCAGUGGAGACCACAGUGAGCUCAUCCUCCGGAUUGCCAGUCUGGAAGUGGAGAACCAGAGAGGCCCGGCUGAACGUGCUGGAGAAGAGCUUGCCCGGCCACCAGGCCACAGCCCCGCAGACCCAGCACGUGUCUCCCAUGCGCCAAGCGGAGUCCCCGGCCCAGAAGCCAGCCACAGCAGCAGAGGAUGACGAGGACGAUGACACUGACCUGUUUGGCAGCGACAGUGAGGCAGCACAGCUGCGGAAGGAGCGGCUGCAGCAGCAGGCAGAGAAGAAGGUCAAGAAGCCCGCGCUGGUGGCCAGGUCCUCCAUCCUGCUGGACAUCAAGCCUUGGGACGGUGAGACGGCCAUGGCCCACUUGGAGGCCUGUGUGCGCUUCAUCCAACUGGACGGGCUGGUGUGGGAGGCCUCCCAGCUGGUGCCCGUGGGCUACGGUAUCUGGAAGCUGCAGAUUCAGUGUGUGGUGGAGGACAAGGUGGAGACAGACUUGGGGGAGGAGGAGAUCACCAAGUUUGAAGAGCGUGUGCAGAGUGUCGACAUGCAGCUUUCAACAAGAUCUGAAGCCUGAGUGCAUGUGUGUAUGCACGUGUGCGUGAGGCCCUGCCACAAUUAAACACUGAGACGGGCAAAAUAAAAGAAGGGAUGAAACAAACUUAAUGAGGCU